GCGGGAGCCGCCAUCUUCCCAACCCCCCCAACCUCCGCUCGCGCUCUUAAAGGGGCCGCGACCCCCGCGCUGAGGGGGCGGCGGGUUUGGGGUUUGUUCCCGGCUCGCGAUCCCGGUUCCCGAGUGGAAAGAACCGUGACCGCGGUUCCCUCCGGUCACCACAGAGCGUGUAGGAGCGGGAUUGGACCCGACCGCGUCAGCAGGUUGAGUCACUCCAGGACGUGGCCAUGUUUUCCACCCCCAGGAAGUGAGGGAGAGUUGGAUCCCAGGGCCAUGGCAGCAGAUGAGAGGGAUUACAACCUGACAGAGGAGCAGAAGGCUGUCAAGGCCAAAUACCCUCCACUCUGUAAGAAAUAUGAAUAUCUGGAUCACACAGCAGAUGUGCAGCUCCAUGCCUGGGGAGACACGUUGGAAGAGGCAUUUGAGCAGUGUGUCAUGGCCAUGUUUGGCUACAUGACAGAUACAGAGACCGUGGAACCCGUGGAUACAGUGGAGGUGGAGGCAGAAGGACACGACUUGUUGUCUCUCCUCUUCCACCUCCUGGAUGAGUGGCUGUAUAAAUUCAGUGCUAAUGAGUUCUUUGUACCCAGGGAGGUGAAAGUGCUUCACAUCGACCGAAUGCAAUUCAAAAUCAGAUCAAUUGGGUGGGGAGAAGAGUUCUCUUUAGGCAAACACCCACAGGGCACAGAGGUCAAAGCCAUCACUUACUCAGCGAUGCAGAUCUGUGAGGAUGAAAAGCCAGAAGUCUUUGUCAUCAUUGAUAUUUAAAGCAAGAAAAGCGUGGCCAAGUGGAUAUUAUGGGCUGGCAAAAGUCCCCUGAAACUGUAAUCCCUGUGGAAGUAACCAAGGAAUUGGGCAGUUAAAAUCAUAAACUGAAGGGAGUAACUGCAGGGAAUGUCAGCCAGUGUUUUCAUGUGAAGAUGGUGAGACAGAGAAUAAAAAGAACUAGUUGGGGUUUUGGGGGAUGUUGAGAAGAAGAGAUCUGAAGGAGUUGGAAAUCUCCCAGGAAUGCUGCUAGUCAGCUUUUAAGGCUGGUACAUAUGUAUGAAAUACAGAAAUUAGUGAAGGUCUUAACUAAAAUGCUGCCUUUUUGUAGGGUGGCAGGAGAAGAUCUUCAUCUAUGUGAUGUCCUUUGCAGAUUUCACUACUCUAAUUCUGGGCUGACAUCCCUCCUCCAUUUUAUACAAAUCCCAAAUAGCUGCAGUGGCUCAGAUUGAAUGUGGAAAAAAUUCUGACUGUUGAAAAGACACCUAAAAAAAAAUAAAAAUUAAACCAAUUAAAAAAAACAAACCACCACACCUUUAAAAGUACUUAAAACCAAAAAUCAUGCCAGCAGGUGGUGCUGAAUUGCUGUAAAUAAACUUCCACCUGAAAUCCUGAAGCAUGUGACCGUGUACCUGGAAUCCUCACAUCACCUCUGAUCCCCCUAAAAAGUUGGCAGCUUUGCCAGGAGCUGCACCAGGUUGGAAAGGGGUGCCCCAGGCUCUCUGCAGCUUCACUCCCAGCUGUGUCUUGUGAAAAGAAUUCUCUUAAUAAAAGCAGAUGGUUUGGAUCACCCUUUAGAAAGGACAAUGAAGACAGUCCCUUAAUGUGAAAGGAUUGUGGGCUUCACUGAAUCAAAAUUAAUCAAGGAUAAUGGAAAGUGUGUUUUGUUUUAAAUCACAGGUUGGCAAAGGUGUGUUACCUGCCAUUGCUAUUUAAAUGUGGGGAGCACAGGCCUGACCUGUUAUUGGGAAUGCUUCACAUGCCUCAGCUCUGGAGCGUGCCAAAAUAAAACUGGGACUGAAAGGAUCCCUGGAUUUGUGUGUGAUUUCUGAGCAGCCAGUCCAGACACUUGUACUUUGCUCCCUGCUGAGAGCCCAUUUGGGGCGUUUGUUCCCCGCUGAGGAGGAGACGGGGGAAUGUCCUGCAUCGAAAUCCUCGGGGGUGCUGCUGUCGAAACUGGCUUCUGCCAAGCACUUGUGGCACAGUCUGUAGCGCCGUGUCCCUUGCUGGACCACGCAGCCCGUCAGCUCCGUCACGUGGCGCUUGCACUUCCUGCAGAUCAGUUUGCCGGCCUGGUGGAUCUGGAGAGGGAUCCG